GUGACUAUUGAUCUCUGGAAUCACUUGGCACGUUCAUUCGACGAUCUCGACUCAUAAGUCGGAGUCCUACAGGUAACAUAGCCAAACAAGGAUCUGCUGGGUUGUGGAAGGGUUAGAGGCUUUUAUGGCAAUUUUGAAGGCUGACAUUUAAGUGGUAGGUAGCGAGACAUAGCAAAAUAAAUGACACAACUAGCAUGGAAAUGAUAGUAAUGGUAUCUAAGAAAAUGAUCAUCUUGACUGUGAUCCCGCUUGGAAGAAGACGAAGCCGUGAAGCAGACGAGCCAAUGUAGUCGAACGAAUCCUCACACUCCGGCACGCUUGCAGAACUCUAUCAAGAAGAAUUAAUCUGGAAACAAGAAUAAUCACAUGAUAACACCACACCUAUUCAUGACAAGAUGCACAAUCAAAUAUGAUGCAUGUCCAUUUGAAUUGUGCAACGCAUGGAAAACCACAACAAUUAAUACUACGCAUUAAAUGAAGCUCAAUCUGCAACUCAUUGCAUAUUUACGAAACCCCUAUUUGAAUUAUUAGUUCACUCUCAUUUAGGUACACGACAAUGUUAAAUGUUGUUAAACAUGACAAGAGGUAAAGCAUAAAUAAACUACACUAUCUAAGCAUUUUAAAUGAGGUCGGAAAGAAUAUAUAGUAUUUCCGGAAUGACCCCAUAUGUGAAUUUCGAAAUUAGUCCAUAUCUGUACUAAACACAUUUUAUAUUUAUUAAACAACAAAAUAAAGUGGAUCAUGUGCUUCUACGCGUCAUUCUAGUCAAUUACAUAUAUAAAUCGUUUAAAAUGGAGUUAUGGUCUAAAUGAUAUGAGCAACACAAAAUGAUAUGUCACGAAUGCAAAUGACAGCCCCAACAUGUUAAAGCACGGUGAACAAGAUAUUAUGGAAGUACAUGAAAUCCUAGGCAAGUUUAAAUGAGGCCGGAACAACGAAUAAAAAUUUCAGAAAAUUCCCAUAUGCAAAUUAAGAUUCGGUACCGUUCUGCCUAUACACGAUUUUAGAGUUGUUAAACAACAAAAUAAGUGCUACCAUGUUAUUCUACACAUUUUUCUAAGCAAGUUACAUAUGUGGAUCAUUCUAAUCGAAGCACGGUUAGCUAGUUAUGAAAUAAAUCAUUUUAACAUGGCAUUUAAGGAAAUUAAAUUAAAAUAGCAAGUUGAACAUUUUAAACACAUGUGAGAGUUGGAUAUUGUAAAACUACACAAAAUUCUAAGAGGGUGCUUGGAUACGUUUUAGUCCCAUGACUAAAAGUAAUGAGACUAAAACUUGCUAGCCUCACCCAUGCUUGGAUCCAAAUACUAAAAAGACUAAAAUCAAGUUAAUGAGCAUUUAUUAUCCUUCAAACCCUCCAAUCCAGAACUUGCAUGAGGAGUUAAAUGAGAAGAGAGAGGACUAAUGCACAUUUUAGUAGGGGUACCCCUAACUAAAAGAUUUUAGCCUCAAGACUAGUUUUAGCCUCUCUUUAGUCAGGGGUGCUUGGAACUUUAGCGUCUUAAAGAGACUAGUUUUAGUCUCUUGGAUCCAAGCACCCUCUAAGCAUUUUUAUGUAUGAAGUUUUUAAAUCCGAUGCAUGGUUAUUUUCCUACGAACUAAAUCAUGUUUAAUAUGGCAUGACGCAAAUUAAUGCAAACAGCAGGGUAAACAACUUUAAACAUGCAUGAAAUUUGGAAUUCUUAAUCUACAUGAAAUUCUCGACAUUUUUCAUGUAUAAUUGUUUCAAUCCGAUGCAAGGAUAUUUAAUUAUGAGUAUGGAAAAAAAUGGCUUUUGCUGAAAUUAUGAGAUGCCCUUGAUAAAUGAAUAAAUUCACAGUGGGUAAAACAUGAUUGGGCGGAUUGCAGUUUAGUGCAGCAACCCACGUGUGGAAUCGGCCCAAGUGAUAAGUGAAUAAAGGCCACCAUGUUAUUCUACAGAUUUUUCUAGUGAAGUUGCAUAUAUGAAACAUUUUAAUCGAAGCUAUGGUUACUUAGUUAUAAAAUAAACCAUUUUAACAUGACAUCUACAUAAAUUACAUGCAAACAUCUGGUUAAACAAUUUUAACAUGCAUGAAAGUGGGAUAUUCUUCAUCUAUGCAAAAUUCUGGACAUUUUACAUGUUGAAAUCAUCAUGAUUCGAUGCACAGUUAUUUAAUUAUGAGUGUUUGAAAACGUGGUUAUUUCGGAAAUUUAGCAAUGGCCAUUUAAUUAACAAAUCGCCGGACACAAAAAAAAAGCUAAAUGGGCCGAAUAUGCUAAUGGGUCGAAAACAGAGCAUGAGCGUAACAUGUCAAGGCAACGCACAAAGCUCGGGAUAGCAGGCGAUGCUCACCGAACAGUUGGGCCAGUUUGAAGAAACGGCUAGGCGGAGGGGGCAGUUCUAGCCCACGUGAGUGACGGUGGGGUGAAGCAGAACCGAGCUGGCGGAUCUGGCGCUCGCUUGGGUUUGCGAGGCCACGGCACUGCAAGUCCCAUGCUAGGAAUUCCAUCAUGGGCCACGGUUGCUGCACGAGGCCUGCCCAUGCCGUGGACACAAGCAGGCACCCGCCAAGCGAGGGAGCUCUCGAUCCGAUCUAGCAAGCUGUUCCCAAAGCAAAGCAGGUCAGCAGUGAUCCGGCGCGAGGCUCUCUAAUGGCGGUGACAACAAAGGAAGGUGGAGAUGGCCGGGAAUGGGUGGAUCGGAGACUCCCCGACAUAGAUCUGGCCAGGAAACAAGACGGCGCGACAAGUUGGAGCUGCGGGAGGCCAUCCAUUGCGGCGUGGUUCCAGCGGGCAUGCAACGAGAGAGAGAGAGAGAGAGGUUAGAGGGGAGAGAGGUAGAGCGGGAGAAGGCGUCGGGGUGACCUGGUCGGUGGUGGAGGCAGCUCGCCACAGGGGCUGCAGCACGGACCGAUGCUAGAUGCGGCGCGGGGGCGAGCCUCAGGCAUGGGGCGGCUUCGGAUAACAGGGAGGCGAGGGCGUGUGGUAAUAACGCUUCGGGCCUGAUUCGGCUGGGACGGGCCGUAGCUGGCUACGGGUGGAGGUCUGGCUGUCUGCGGUGGGGCGCGACUGGCUAGCUGGCCCUCUAAACGUUUGAUCUGGCCGCUGACGACCGGGAUCGUGCCUCACGAGCCGACGUGGUGGCUCGACUAGGAGGUGACGGCGUAGUAGUGGCUCGGACGCGGAUUCAAGGCAAAGUGACUGCGGAUAGAGGUAGGGGAAGGGUUAGGCUAGGGUUUAGUG
rnacentral:lncRNA from 1 species